AUAACCCGGCGAAAGUCGGACUAAUACCGCAUGAAGCAGGGGCCCCGCAUGGGGAUAUUUGCUAAAGAUUCAUCGCUGAUAGAUAGGCAUGCGUUCCAUUAGGCAGUUGGCGGGGUAACGGCCCACCAAACCGACGAUGGAUAGGGGUUCUGAGAGGAAGGUCCCCCACAUUGGUACUGAGACACGGACCAAACUCCUACGGGAGGCAGCAGUGAGGAAUAUUGGUCAAUGGGCGUAAGCCUGAACCAGCCAAGUCGCGUGAGGGAUGAAGGUUCUAUGGAUCGUAAACCUCUUUUAUAAGGGAAUAAAGUGCGGGACGUGUCCCGUUUUGUAUGUACCUUAUGAAUAAGGAUCGGCUAACUCCGUGCCAGCAGCCGCGGUAAUACGGAGGAUCCGAGCGUUAUCCGGAUUUAUCGGGUUUAAAGGGUGCGUAGGCGGCCUUUUAAGUCAGCGGUGAAAGUCUGUGGCUCAACCAUAGAAUUGCCGUUGAAACUGGGGGGCUUGAGUAUGUUUGAGGCAGGCGGAAUGCGUGGUGUAGCGGUGAAAUGCUUAGAUAUCACGCAGAACCCCGAUUGCGAAGGCAGCCUGCCAAGCCAUGACUGACGCUGAUGCACGAAAGCGUGGGUAUCAAACAGGAUUAGAUACCCUGGUAGUCCACGCAGUAAACGAUGAUCACUAGCUGUUUGCGAUACAGUGUAAGCGGCACAGCGAAAGCGUUAAGUGAUCCACCUGGGGAGUACGCCGGCAACGGUGAAACUCAAAGGAAUUGACGGGGGCCCGCACAAGCGGAGGAACAUGUGGUUUAAUUCGAUGAUACGCGAGGAACCUUACCCGGGUUUGAACGCAUUCGGACCGAGGUGGAAACACCUUUUCUAGCAAUAGCCGUUUGCGAGGUGCUGCAUGGUUGUCGUCAGCUCGUGCCGUGAGGUGUCGGCUUAAGUGCCAUAACGAGCGCAACCCUUGCCACUAGUUACUAACAGGUGAUGCUGAGGACUCUGGUGGGACUGCCAGCGUAAGCUGCGAGGAGGGCGGGGAUGACGUCAAAUCAGCACGGCCCUUACAUCCGGGGCGACACACGUGUUACAAUGGCGUGGACAAAGGGAAGCCACCUGGCGACAGGGAGCGAAUCCCCAAACCACGUCUCAGUUCGGAUCGGAGUCUGCAACCCGACUCCGUGAAGCUGGAUUCGCUAGUAAUCGCGCAUCAGCCAUGGCGCGGUGAAUACGUUCCCGGGCCUUGUACACACCGCCCGUCAAGCCAUGGGAGCCGGGGGUACCUGAAGUCCGUAACCGAAAGGAUCGGCCUAGGGUAAAACUGGUGACUGGGGCUAAGUCGAACAAGGUA
rnacentral:rRNA from 1 species